rnacentral:rRNA from 1 species
UACGGAGGAUGCGAGCGUUAUCCGGAUUUAUUGGGUUUAAAGGGUGCGUAGGCGGAGUGCCAAGUCAGCGGUAAAAAUUCGGGGCUCAACCCCGUCGUGCCGUUGAAACUGGCGCCCUUGAGUGGGCGAGAAGUAUGCGGAAUGCGUGGUGUAGCGGUGAAAUGCAUAGAUAUCACGCAGAACCCCGAUUGCGAAGGCAGCAUGCCGGCUUCCUACUGACGCUGAAGCACGAAAGCGUGGGGAUCGAACAGG